rnacentral:rRNA from 1 species
AAUGAACGCUGGCGGCAUGCCUAACACAUGCAAGUCGAACGAAGUCUUCGGACUUAGUGGCGCACGGGUGCGUAACGCGUGGGAAUCUGCCCUUGGGUACGGAAUAACUCAGAGAAAUUUGUGCUAAUACCGUAUAAUGUCUUCGGACCAAAGAUUUAUCGCCCAAGGAUGAGCCCGCGUAGGAUUAGGUAGUUGGUGAGGUAAAAGCUCACCAAGCCGACGAUCCUUAGCUGGUCUGAGAGGAUGAUCAGCCACACUGGGACUGAGACACGGCCCAGACUCCUACGGGAGGCAGCAGUGGGGAAUAUUGGACAAUGGGCGCAAGCCUGAUCCAGCAAUGCCGCGUGAGUGAUGAAGGCCUUAGGGUUGUAAAGCUCUUUUACCCGGGAUGAUAAUGACAGUACCGGGAGAAUAAGCUCCGGCUAACUUCGUG